rnacentral:rRNA from 1 species
UUCGUGGUCGGUGGUACAGGUGGUGCAUGGCUGUCGUCAGCUCGUGUCGUGAGAUGUGGGUUAAGUCCCGCAACGAGCGCAACCCUUGUCUUAUGUUGCCAGCACGUGAUGGUGGGGACUCGUAAGAGACUGCCGGGGUCGAACUCGGAGGAAGGUGGGGACGACGUCAAGUCAUCAUGCCCCUUAUGUCCAGGGCUUCACACAUGCUACAAUGGCCAGUACAGAGGGCUGCGAGACCGUGAGGUGGAGCGAAUCCCUUAAAGCUGGUCUCAGUUCGGAUCGGGGUCUGCAACUCGACCCCGUGAAGUCGGAGUCGCUAGUAAUCGCAGAUCAGCAACGCUGCGGUGAAUACGUUCCCGGGCCUU